GAUUGCAGCUCACUUGUGCUCUCGCAACUUCAACCUCAUCUCCAACUAUCACCACAAGUACUAGAACACAUAUUAUUGCUAUUUUCGUAUUCAUCUCUCCCUCUCUUUUUUUUUUCUUUUUUUUAUGCUUUGUGUUUUUGUGUUUGUGUGAUGAGAAGUUCUGGUUUUCGGCCCUAUUUAUAGAUAUAGAACACAAGGAAAACAAAGGGUGAGGCAAUAACUAU
rnacentral:lncRNA from 1 species